CAGUAGCCGCGGUAACACGAAGGGGGCUAGCGUUGUUCGGAAUUACUGGGCGUAAAGCGCACGUAGGCGGAUAUUUAAGUCAGGGGUGAAAUCCCGCAGCUCAACUGCGGAACUGCCUUUGAUACUGGGUAUCUUGAGUAUGGAAGAGGUUAGUGGAAUUGCGAGUGUAGAGGUGAAAUUCGUAGAUAUUCGCAGGAACACCAGUGGCGAAGGCGGCUAACUGGUCCAUAACUGACGCUGAGGUGCGAAAGCGUGGGGAGCAAACAGGAUUAGAUACCCGCGUAGUCCCUGUCUCUUAUAC
rnacentral:rRNA from 1 species